rnacentral:lncRNA from 1 species
AGACUUCAUUAGCCCAAAUUGCUAUAAAUAUCCUGGACCUUCGAUCUCCAUCAAAAUCUAGGAUCGAAAGAUGGACAGAGGAGUGUAGCUGUCAAACCGUCAGGGCAAACUCUUUAGUCGAUAGCUCUUUUGUGGUUGAAAAGAUUCCCUCUUGGUCCAGACUUCUCGAGAAUCUUUUCGAUCUCCUUGCUGGAGAUCUUCUUUCCUGCUGCCUA